GUGCUCACUUCGGCAGCACAUAUAUUAAA
rnacentral:snRNA from 1 species